rnacentral:rRNA from 1 species
GACCCGUAAUCCGGGUUGCGGACAGUGUCUGGUGGGUAGUUUGACUGGGGCGGUCUCCUCCUAAAGAGUAACGGAGGAGCACGAAGGUUGGCUAAUCCUGGUCGGACAUCAGGAGGUUAGUGCAAUGGCAUAAGCCAGCUUGACUGCGAGCGUGACGGCGCGAGCAGGUGCGAAAGCAGGUCAUAGUGAUCCGGUGGUUCUGAAUGGAAGGGCCAUCGCUCAACGGAUAAAAGGUACUCCGGGGAUAACAGGCUGAUACCGCCCAAGAGUUCAUAUCGACGGCGGUGUUUGGCACCUCGAUGUCGGCUCAUCACAUCCUGGGGCUGAAGUAGGUCCCAAGGGUAUGGCUGUUCGCCAUUUAAAGUGGUACGCGAGCUGGGUUUAGAACGUCGUGAGACAGUUCGGUCCCUA